GCCUGGGUGGCUCAGUCGGUUAAGCGUCUGACUUCGGCUCAGGUCAUGACCUCACAGUUUGUGAGUUCAAGCCCCGCAUCGGGCU
rnacentral:tRNA from 1 species